AUCAGCAGGAACACCAAAUGCGAAGGCAGCGUACUAGAACGGACCUGACGCUAAGGUACGAAAGCGUGGGUAGCGAAUGGGAUUAGAUACCCCCAGUAGUCCACGCCGUAAACGAUGGAUGCUAAGCAUUGGCAGUUUCGACCCUGCCAGUGCUGUUUAACUAAGCUAACGCGUUAAGCAUCCCGCCUGGGGAGUACGGCCGCAAGGCUAAAACUCAAAGGAAUAGACGGGGACCCGCACAAGCGGUGGAGCAUGUGGUUUAAUUCGAUGAUAAGCGAGGAACCUCACCAAGGUUUGACAUCUAGCUGCAGACUCUGAGAAAUCAGAGAGCCUUCGAGGGUGCUAGACAGGUGCUGCAUGGUUGCCGUCAGCUCGUGUCGUGAGAUGUACCGUUAAGUCGGAAAACGAGCGCAACCCCUAUCCUAUGUUUUAUAUGUCAUGGGAGACUGCCCGCUUUAAGUGGGAGGAAGGUGGGGACGACGUCAAAUCAGCAUGGCCCUUAUACCUUGGGCUACACACGUGCUACAAUGGGGAGUACAAAGGGACGCCAAGCCGUAAGGCGGAGCAAAUCCUCUAAAACUCCUCUCAGUUCGGAUUGAGGUCUGCAAUUUGACCUCAUGAAGUUGGAAUCGC
rnacentral:rRNA from 1 species